UCCCUGAUUGCUGCUGCCAGGGAAGGACGGAGAAACGCUGACUCUCCAGUGGACCUGCCUCGCUCGCAUGGCCAUCCCAGACUCUGACUCUCUCCAGUGGGACCUGCCUCGAUCGCGUGGCCAUCCCAGACUCUGACUGUCCCGUGGGACCUGCUUCGAGUGGCCAUCCCAGACACUGCUAUCUUUACACCUAUGACACUGGAGAGCCAGAGCGUCAGGGAAUCUACUCAUGCCCGGUGGGCUUUUGGGGUCUGGGUCAGAAUCAAUACUCUGGAUGUGUCCCCCACCUCCUUCGGGAAUAGUCCUUUGAUGUGUAGGGGCUCACCACCCUGGAGCUGGAGUUAUCUGGGACAGAUCAUAAAAGAACACAGACAGUCCAUCUGUCCAACAGUUUUAAUCCCUUCGUGGUCCUUCAACCAAAUCCAUGGAAUCUAUGGAUCUAGAUGCUGAAUGGAGAGCCCAUCCUACCACCUACCAUCCUUCGACAC